GGAGAGAUGGCCGAGUGGCUGAAGGCGCUCGCCUGCUAAGCGAGUGUACGGGGUUGACCUGUACCGUGGGUUCAAAUCCCACUCUCUCCGCCA
rnacentral:tRNA from 3 species